rnacentral:rRNA from 1 species
GACGAACGCUGGCGGCGUGCUUAACACAUGCAAGUCGAACGGAAAGGCCUGCUUUCCCUUGUGGAUUGCGGGUACUCGAGUGGCGAACGGGUGAGUAACACGUGAGUGAUCUGCCCCCAACUUGGGUAUAAGCCUGGGAAACUGGGUCUAAUUCCCGAUAGGACUGCAGGGUGGUGCCUGUGGUGGAAAACGAUUUUCUAGUGGUUGGGGAUGAGCUCGCGGCCUAUCAGCUUGUUGGUGGGGUAAUGGCCUACCAAGGCGGCGACGGGUAGCCGGCCUGAGAGGGUGGACGGCCAGAUUGGGACUGAGGUACGGGCCAGGCUCCUACGGGAGGCAGCAGUGGGGAAUAUUGGACAAUGGGGGGAAGCCUGAUGCAGCGGCGCCGCGUGGGGGAUGACGGCCUUCGGGUUGUAAACUCCUUUCGACCGCGAGGAAGCCACCUGGUUGGAAGGGUGGUGACGGUAGUGGUAGAAGAAGCACCGGCUAACUACGUG